CGCGCCUAACACUUAGUGGCGGACGGGUGAGUAACGCGUGAGGAACCUACCUUACAGAGGGGGACAACAGUUGGAAACGACUGCUAAUACCGCAUGAUGUGGAGGGGAGACAUCUCCCUUUCACCAAAGGAGCAAUCCGCUGUAAGAUGGCCUCGCGUCUGAUUAGAUAGUUGGUGGGGUAACGGCCUACCAAGUCGACGAUCAGUAGCCGGACUGAGAGGUUGAACGGCCACAUUGGGACUGAGACACGGCCCAGACUCCUACGGGAGGCAGCAGUGGGGGAUAUUGCACAAUGGAGGAAACUCUGAUGCAGCAACGCCGCGUGAGGGAAGAAGGUUUUCGGAUUGUAAACCUCUGUUUUUAGUGAAGAAACAAAUGACGGUAGCUAAAGAGGAAGCCACGGCUAACUACGUG
rnacentral:rRNA from 1 species